ensembl:lncRNA
CUUAACUAUGACAUGUUCACAGAACAAUAAGAGGAGCCUUCUCAGAUGCCUUUCUUUUCAGAAGCACUCUAGCUGUUAUAGAUCAGCCCUGGGAUUUCUUUGGAAGGAAUGAUGCUGAAGCUGAGACUCCAGUACUUUGGCCACCUCAUGCGAAGAGUUGACUCAUUGGAAAAGACUCUGAUGCUGGAAGGGAUUGGGGGCAAGAGGAGAAGGGGACGACAGAGGAUGAGAUGGCUGGAUGGCAUCACUGACUCGAUGGACGUGAGUCUGAGUGAACUCCGGGAGUUGGUGAUGGACAGGGAGGCCUGGCGUGCUGUGAUUCAUGGGGUUGCAAGGAGUCAGUCGGACAUGACUGAGUGACUGAUCUGAUCUGAUCUGAUUGAGUUUAACUCAGAUUACCAUGCCCCCUAAGCUAAACUCUGGGGAGGCCAAGGGCAGGACGUGGGGGUUGCAGAAAAUUGAAUCAAACUCCUUCUGGUCCACAAUUAGUGUGGCCCGAAAGAGUGACACCUGAUGGGGGUAUUGAUUUAAGAAUUCUGAUGUGAUUGUUUCUACCUUAGAACUUACCAUGACACAGUCUCAACUAUAGCUGUUAACUCACUGUUUACACUGACCAGUCAGGAUUGGUCAGGUUAGGGUAGGGUCAAAACACACAACCCCCAAAUAUCUCAGGGACUUGAAAUGAUCAAAACUGAUUUUUUGUGUGUGAUACAUGUGUUCAUAAAAUCUGCUUAAUGUAGGGCCUCAGGGACCAAAUCAGAUGGAGGGAGGACUCAUGAUUUGGAAGUUGGGGCAGCUGAGACAGAGGGAGAUAAGGGUGAGUUGUCUCCAUCAGAUGUGACAUAGGUCACCUCACACCAAUUUUAUGAGGACAUAAACAUUCAGACCAUAGCACAGAGGUAGGAAGUUGGAGGGCAGAAUUUGAGAGGUUGGGAUGAUCACCUCCAUCCUGAAGCUCCAUCCCUGACCUUGUUUUCAUUGCAGGGGUUCCUAGCUCUGUGGCCCUGGGUUCUGUCUUGAAACCUUUCCUCUGUGGCUCCAGAUCCCAUAAGGAUCUUGCCAGGGGAACCCUCCUUCAGUCCUUUGGGCCUUGGCUUGGUGUAGAUUUCCUGUUGCUGCUGAUCUCUAAGAACCUCAUCAUCCCUAACUGAUACUUUCGCUCUUAUGUCGCCAUAAACCACCUCCUUGUCUUUUCCCUGUAGUUAAAGGCUUUGUGUCUUUCAUCUGCUCCUUGCCAAACUGAGUAAUACAUCAUCUGACCUGCAGGGUUCCAAACAGCUGUACACAUCCCCACCCACCAUUCUUUCCUUCAGAUAUUUGUUAGAUGUGCCUAAUUUCUCAGCUGUCUUACUCCUAUGCCUUUCUCUUUCUGUUCACUGUAUCGACUGAUAAAAGAACAAUGUGAGAGUUGUAAGUUACGUUUUUUGGGGGAUGAAAUGAGGGCUAAAUGUAGCUUGGGAGAUAACAUUUCAGAUAGCUUUGAGAAAUUGCUUCAAAGAGGCAGGGGGGAAGGUCAGGAUAUAUGCAAUUUUGGUGAAGGGGGAGUACAUGCAAUCAACCACAUAUUUUUUGCAGAAGAUUCCUGGUAGUCACAAGGAAUAGUCAUCACCAUGAAGAAUUUUAGGGCAUUUCUAGAUAUGAGAAGAUACAAGAAUUGGACUAAUAAAAUCAGUUCUUGAAAAUAUCUGUCUACAGACCUGUUCUGCCAGUUUUCCCCAGAGCACAGAGUGCCUCAUUUCUGCUCUCCACCCUGAAAUCCUUUCAGAGGGUGUUGAAGGUCAGCGGCUACAGCAGCACAUGAUUUAAUCCUUGUAGAGGUAGAUGGCAAGUGCCAGUUUGUAGGUGACAACUGUUAGAACUUUGGGUUGUCUGAUAGCUGGUCCAGUUGAGAGCAUUUACUGGUUUUUAUGGAAACACCUUGUUUCAUUCAGCAGCAUGCUGGCCAUGUACUCUGUGUUAGUUGGCUAGGACUUCUAUAGCCCCAUACCUGAGACUGGGGGGCUUAAGGACAGAACUUUAUUUCUGCGCUAUCUGGAGGCUGGACGCCUCAGUCGAGGUGCCUCAGGUGUGGUUUCUCCUUUGGCCUCUGUCCUUGGCUCAUGAGGCUGCCUUCUCACUGUGUCCUCCCCUGGCCUCUUCCCUCAGCACCCUUGGCUUCUGCAUCUUCCUCUUCUUAUAAGGACACUAAUUUUACUGGAUGAGGGCCCCACUCUAACGGCCUCAUUUUAGCCUAAUCACCUUUCAAAACUCCAGCGUAAACUAGGGUUGAAUUCGUUUUGAGGUUCUUGGAGUUGAGAACUUUAACAUAUGAAUGUGGGUUGGGGCAAAACCCAGCUCACUAGAUACACUACUGACACAGGCAGAAUCUCAAUUAACUUUUGUGCUUCAAAGCUUUUAGCUUCAUCUUUCACCUGCUGGAGAGAGAAAGCUGUGUCUUCUAACACUGAAGGUUCCCAGAUUUCUGAACAAUUCCUCCCUUUCUUUUAUGGUGGUUUGCGAAUGGCUUGAUUGUUUUCAAGAUCUUUUUCUAUGGUGCCUUGUGAAAGACCUCCAAUUGGUAAUCAAUACAUCCCACUAAUACUGCUUCUAAUCUUUUUCUCUAGAACUACUUUUUCUGUCUAUUAUGUUUUUACUAGUAACAGUUUUACCAAAAUUUUGAGAAAACACAGCAAAGUACACCAAACCAGUCAAUCCUAAAGGAAAUCAACCGUGAAUGUUCUUUGGAAGGAUUGAUACUGAAGCUGAAGCUCCAAUAAUUUGGCCACCUGAUGCAAAGAGCUGGCUCACUGGAAAAGACCCUGAAGCUGGGAAAUAUUGAGGGCGGGAGGAGAAGUGGGUGACAGAGGAUGAGAUGGUUGGAUGGUAUCACCAACUCAAUGGACAUGAGUUUGAGCAAACUCCAGGAGAUAGUGAAGAACAGAGAAUCCUGGUGUCCUGGGGUCCAUGGGGUCACAAAGAUUCAGACAACUUAGUGACUGAACAACAAUCCUGAUUACAUGGAUGACCAGUGUUCUGGACCCAGAGGUUUGUUGUCCAUCAUCUAGCCCUUGGCCAUGCCAUCUAUUUUAGGCUUAUCAGCUAUGGUAGCACUCUAUGUCAGGGCUCCAAUGUCAGUACUUGUCAAAACAGACCAAUUUUACCACAAAAUCUUCAUAUUCACUUCUGUUUGUGGUGCCUGUCUGCCUGUUUGACAUUUGGAACCUGGUGGGUACUCAGAAAUCCUGAUUGAUGGAGUGACCACCUUCUUGCCGUGCCAAGAGGAUAAGAGAGCCCUUGGCUCUGGGAACCUCUUCUCAUGUAUGAUACAGAUCACUUUUUAAUGCUUCAUUGACCAAGGUAUGUCAAAUGGGUGCUUUUUGAACUUAAGGGGGCAGGAAAUGCCUGUCCUAUCUCAUGCUUGGAAAGAGAACCAGAAAUUCUUGGUGAACAGCACUCAUGGUUACUGUUCAGUGUCAGUUCUCAAGAGCUGGGAUUUAGUUCUGCUGCUACUGCUGCUGCUAAGUCACUUCAGUCAUGUCGGACUCUGUGUGACCCCAUAGAUGGCAGCCCACCAGGCUCCCCCAUCCCUGGAAUUCUCCAGGUAAGAAAACUGGAGUGGGUUGCCAUUUCCUUCUCUAAUUCAUGAAAGAGAAAAGUGAAAGUGAAGUCACUCAGUCAUGUCCAACUCUUAGCAAUCCCAUGGACUGCAGCCUACCAGGCUCCUCCGUCCAUGGGAUUUUCCAGGCAAGAGUACUGGAGUGGGUUGCCAUUGCCUUCUCCAGGGAUUUAGUUCUGGGAGUUAACAAACUACUUGGGGGAAAAGAGCAAUUGGGGAUUAUCUGUGGCAUAAAUUGUGGGCCCUUGAUGCUACUUUUGUUUUCUGAUCACCUUGCCACUAUUUCCUCCAACAUAUGUGUGUGCGUGCACACACACACACACACACACACACACACACACAUGAUAGCCACUCCUUUCUCUAAUGCCACAGAAUUACACAGUCAACUUCUCUAGUAGCAGCUGGCUGUCAUGUGUCAUUUGGCAAUAUCCAUAUCUUCUUUUUCUUGCUGUAAAUGAUGUCUGCAGAAGCUGUGUUAAGAGUCAGGUGUAACCUCUUUUGCAUUAUGGUGCUUGUGAUCCACAUGAUAUGUACCUCAUUCUCCUCACAAUGCAUUUGAAAAUGAAGUCAUAUUUAAGUUUGUCAUUUCUAUAAAGCAAGAAAGAUAGUUACUGUCAUGUGCUGCCAAGCAGACUGGCAGAUGCCACUAACAAAUGGUAAAACAUUCUCCUCUGCUUCAUUAUUUCCAUAAAAACAAACUCUUUUGGUUAUCAUUUCUGAAAUAGAAUAUAAACCUGAUUCUAAAUGACAAAAGAAAAAAUACAGUAGCUGUCAAAUCCCAAUGCAGUGUUUCUAGAAGUUAGUGAAUAAGUGAAGUGAAUCACAUUCAGAAGAGGACUGAUAAUCCAGGGUACCCAUUAAAGUGGUUUCCAGCCUGAAGUAGACAGGGAUCACUAACAAUGUGUUGAACAGUGGAACCAGGUAGGAAGCACCCAAUGGGAAAUGUGCACACAGUUAGAUGGUUUUGAUUUGAUAUAGCCUUUCCUCAGAAGCUACACUGAGAAUUAAUUAUUUUGUUUCAAAUUUCUCCCCAGUGAAUCCAUCCAUCUUUUCUGAGGCCAACUGACUUUUAUAAAAUACAAGUCUGAUCAUGUCAUCAAUGAAUCAGCUCUGGGACCAAGUUACCAUCAGGAGAGAGUCUGCCCCAUGGCCUCUGAGCCUGCGGUCAUGACCUCUCCAAGCCAGUCACCCAGGGGAUGCCACUCGCAUACACUCAUGCCACUCACCCCCAUGCCCUUAUGGCUGCUGCUUGGCAGCGUCAAAGCUACACUUGAAUUGCCUCCGCUGCCAAUUCCCAUUUGUUUGUUCUCCAUUCAGGCACCCGACUCCUCACCUCCCGUCCUUUUCCGGCCUUACUCUUCUGCGUUAGCUGCAUGGUUAUUUCCUGACUGUGUUUUUUUUUGUUUGUUUGUUAAAAUUUGCUCUGAGCUCUGUCUUGGCAAGCUCUGACUGCCACUUGCUUCCUGGCUGCUGACUCAUGAUUUGCUCUGUCCUUUGCUGUGGGGGACCCUCCGGAUUCUUGACCAUGUGGCCCCCUGCCUCACUGGGACUCCUGGCACCAGGAUGUCCUCAGUUCUGACUCAACCAGACACUUUCCUCUUUUUUCAGAGCUCCUUUACUGGUGUACUGCUUUGCUCGACAAUCCUAGGUAAGUAAGUCAUGUGGGCUUCCCUGGUGGCUGAGAUGGUAAAGAAUCUGCCUGCCAUGUGGGAGACCUAGGUUCAAUCCCUGGGUUGGGAAGAUCUCCUGGAGAAGGGAAGGACCACUCACUCCAGUAUUCUUGCCUCAAGAAUCCCAUGGACAGAGGAGCCUGGUGGGCUACAGUCCAUGGAAUCACAAAGAGUCAGACACGACUAAAGUGACUUAGCAUACAAGUUGCCCUUAUGGCUGGUGAAUGAGGAAACUAAUUGACAUGCUCCAGUUUUUCAUCCAACAAGUGAUGCUUAAUAAGAGGUGAGAUUGGAACUCAGGUCCCUCAAAACCCAAGGCCUCAGCCUCUAAGCUGUGCUGCUGGAAGACAUGCGUCUUUUCACAGGUGCUUUAGGUAGGGGAUGAAGGUGGCCAGGCUGUUACUUUGGUGUUCUUGUACAAAUGAAAGCAGAUAAGAAUUUUACAUCUGGAGACAGAUUGGUAGGGGACAGUUUGGGGAUCAUAGAUCAAAGUGUGUGCGUGUAUGCUUAGUCGCUCAGUCAUGUCCUAUUCUAUGUGACCCUAUGGACUGUAGAAUGCCCUGCUCCUCUGUUCAUGAGAUUCUCCAGGCAAGAAUACUGGAGUGGGUUGCCAUUUCCUCCUCCAGGGAAUCUUCCCUACCCAGGGGUAGAACCAGCAUCCCCCGCAUUGGCAGGUGGACACUUUUACCACUGUGCCAUCUGGGCUUCCUAAAUAUUUCCAGGUAAAGUAGUCCUACUCCACUUGGGUAUAGAGCCACUUUGACCUCAAGCAGAAGUCAACAUUUUGUCUGCAAAUAGUCAGAAAGUAAGUAUUUUAGGCAUUACAGGCCACAUAUGGUCUGUUGCAUAUUCAUUAAAAAAAAAAUAAACCAUUAAAUAUGUAAAAGCAUUCUUAGCUCAGAGGUCCUAUAAAAAUAGGCUAUGAGUCACAUUUGUCCCAGUUUGUUACCAUUGGCUGACGUCAAGGUGGCCCUCAAAGACUAUGCCUUAAUCUGAGGAAGGUCCUCCAUGGGAUUCCAAAUGGGAAUUAAACCCUAAUGUCCUAAAGCACCCAUUGUACCAUUGUAUGAUGUGAAUCAGCUUCUCUUAGAAAGGUACUUGUUAUGUUAGGAGAACUGAGUAAAUACUCAAAACAUUUUUGUGUUCUGAGGUUCAGCUGAAAAGCUCUGGCUGGUAGCACAUGUAAUCACACACUUAUUCACUGAGCAAUCAUUAACCAGGCACUAACUAUGUGCUCAGUGUCGGGUUAUGUGAUGUGACAGCUGAGAUGAGUGAGAUACAGAUUUUCCCUCAAAAACAUCACCCCGAAUGGGCUACAGGAGAUGCUGAAAAUAAUUUCUGAAGUCAUGCUCAGGCAGAAACAAUGUGAUGAUCCUAAUAAGUAUUCCGUUUUCAUGAAUGUGAUAUCUUUGCCGUAAAAUGAGAGCAUUUGUUUUUCUCCACAGGACUGUGAUUUGUGCUAUGCAGACCUGCUGACAUUUUAUGGGAUCACAAAGAGUCAGACACAACUUAGCAACUGAGUAACAACAAAAGCUAUGGACAGUUGUCUGAGAAAUAAAAUGACCCCAUGGCAGUACCCAUCCACAGACAGACUUGGGCAAGAAUCAGUCCUUGCCCACCACUAACUAUGAAAAUUUGGGCAAUUACUGAUUUUGCUUUUGGCCAUGCCAUGCAGCACGCAUGAUCUUCCCCGACCAGGGAUCAAACCCAAGACCUCUGCAUUGGAAGCAUGGAGUUUUUAACCACUGGACCACUGGGGAAUUCCUCAAUCUUUCUGAGAUCCUUUUCACCAUAAGAUGGAGAAGAUAUAAGACCCACUUCAGUGAACAAUGGUGUAAAUUUUUUUUUUCUUUUUAUUAUUAUUAUUUUUUUUACUUUGCAAUAAUGGUGUAAAUUUAAAUGAAAAAAAAUCACAUAAAGCCUUUAGCGGUGAUACUUUAUACGUAGCAAAAGCUCAACAGAACUCAUUAUUAAUGCUAUUUUUGGACUAUGUCCCAUGGUUUCAGGGGUGUCAGAAACAAGUUCUUAAUCUCGCUAAAGUCAGAUCCAUGUAUAUGAGAAAAUUAAGUGUGCGCACAGAAAAGAAACACCUGCAGUGUUUGUCUAAUUGCUUUGGACUCCUCAGAGAACUGGAUGGAGCUAUGGAGGGUCAAACAUACCUAAUUAGAGAAUCAACAAAUUCUGAAUAGGUGCCAUAUUUAGAGGGACGGUUUGACUUCUCAAUACAAUAAACUGGCUGGAGGAAGAUGGGGAAGGGGGAGACGAGGAGCAUCACUUCAGCACAUUCCUGACUUUAACUUGAGAGAUUCUUCACGCAGAGAAAUUUCUCUCAUUCUUCUGGAUUCUGCAGUGAGAAAUAACACAAUCCAGCCUUACUGGUUUUGUACCAGGCUCUGUCCACUUAAUCCUUGCACAGCCCUAUGAGAGUGGGGAUAUUUUAUCACUCACAUUUUAGAUAAAGGACAACUGAAAGCACAGACUGUCCCUGUAACUUGCCCAAGGUCAUAUGGCUGGGGCACUGGUAGUCUGAUUUAAAUCUAGGUACAUUUACUUCAGCCCUUAUUUCCAAUGCUGUACUACAAGGCUGCAUAGUAGAAAGAGUGUGUGAGUCACACAUGCACAUAAAAUGCUUUCCUAGUCACAUUUUGAAAAAGGAAACAGGUACCAUGAAGUUUUAAAAUUUAUUUGAUUGAAGGAUAAUUGAUUUACAAUGUUGUGAUAAUUUCUGCUGUACAGAAAAGUGAUUCAGUUAUAUAUAUACAUGUGUGUGUGUGUAUUAGGCUUCCCUCGUGGCACUAGUGGUAAAAAACCCGCCUGCUAAUCAGUUGAGUGGAGUUCAGUCAUUCAGUCAUGCCCAACUCUUUGUGGUCCCAUGGACUGCAGCAUGCCAGGCCUCCCUGUCCUUCACCAUCUCCCAGAGCUUAUGCAAACUCGUAUCCAUCAAGGCAGUGAUGCCAUCCAACCAUCUCAUCCUCUGUCGUCCCCUCCUCCGCCUGCCUUCAGUCAUUCCCAGCAUAAGGGUCCUUGCCAAUGAGUCAGUUCUUCGCAUCAGGUGGCCAAAGUAUUGGAGAUUCAGCUUCAGCAUCGGUCCUUCCAAUGAAUAUUCAGGACUGAUUUCCUUUAGGAGGGACUGAUUGGAUCUCCUUGCAGGCCAAGGAGACUCUCAAGAGUCUUCUCCAACACCACACUUCAAAAGCAUCAAUUCUUUGGCACUCAGCUUUCCUUGUAGUCUAAUUCUCACAUCUGUACAUGAAUCCUGCAAAAACCAUAGCUUUGACUAGAUGGACCUUUGUUGGCAAAGUAAUAUCUCUGCUUUUUAAUAUGCUGUGUAGGUUGGUCAUAGCUUUUCUUCUAAGGAGCAAGCAUCUUUUAAUUUCAUGGCUGCAGUCACCAUCUGCAGUGAUUUUGGAGCCCAGAAAAAUAAAGUCAGCCACUGUUUCCAUUGUUUCCCCAUCUAUUUGCCAUGAAGUGAUGGGACCAGAUGCCAUGAUCAUCGUUUUCUGAGUGUUGAGUUUUAAGCCAGCUUUUCACUCUCCUCUUUCACUUUCAUCAAGAGACUCUUAGUUCUUCGCUUUCUGCCAUAAGGGUGGUGUGAUCUGCAUAUCUGAGAUUAUUGAUAUUUCUUCUGGCAAUCUUGAUUCCAGCUUGUGCUUCAUCUAGCCUGGCAUUUAGCAUGAUGUACUCUGUAUAUAAGUUAAAUAAGCAGGGUGAAAAUAUACAGUCUUGACAUGCUCCUUUCCCAGUUUGGAACCAGUCUGCUGUUCCGUGUCCGGUUUUAACUGUUGCUUCUUGAGCUGCAUACAGAUUUCUCAGGAGGCAGGUCAGGUGGUCUGGUAUUCCCAUCUCUUUCAGAAUUUUCCAGUUUGUUGUAAUCUACACAGUCAAAGGCUUUGGCAUAUUCAAUAAAGCAGAAGUAGAUGUUUUUCUGGAACUCUCUUGCUUUUUCAAUGAUCCAGCGGAUGUUGGCAAUUUGAUCUCUGGUUUCUCUGCCUUUUCUAAAACCAGCUUGAACAUCUGGAAGUUCACGGUUCAUUUGCUGUUGAAGCCUGGCUUAGAGAGUUUUGAGCACUACUUUACUAGCGUGUGAGAGUGCAACUGUAUGGUAGUUUGAGCAUUCUUUGGCAUUGCCUUUCUUUGGGAUUGGAAUGAAAACUGACCUUUUCCAUUCCUGUGGCCACUGCUGAGUUCUCCAAAUUUGCUGGCAUUUGAGUGCAGCACUUUCAUGGCAUCAUCUUUUAGGACUUGAAAUAGCUCAACUGGAAUUUCAUCACCUCCACUAGCUUUGUUCAUAAGAUGCUUCCUAAGGCCAACUUGACUUUGUAUUCCAGGAUGUCUGUCUCUAGGUGAGUGAUCACACCAUCAUGAUUAUCUGGGUCAUAAAGACUUUUUUGAUAUAAUUUUUCUGUGUAUUCUUGCCAGCUCUUCUUAAUAUCUCCUGCUUCUGUUAGGUCCAUACCAUUUGUGUUUUUAUUGUGCCCAUCUUUGCAUGAAGUAUUCCCUUGGUAUCUCUAAUUUUCUUGGAGAGAUCUCUAGUCUUUCCCAAUCUAUUGUUUUCCUCUAUUUCUUUGCAUUGAUCACUGAGGAAGGCAGUGAUCUCUCCUUGCUAUUCAUAUCUCUCCUUGCUAUUCUUUGGAACUCUGUAUUCAGAUGGCUAUAUCCUUCCUUUUUUCCUUUGCCUUUCACUUCUCUUCUUCUCUCAGCUAUUUGUAAGGCCUCCUCAGACAACCAUUUUCCCUUUUUGCAUUUCUUUUUCUUGAAGAUGGUCUUGACUGCUGUGUCAUGUACAAUGUCAUGAACCUCUGUCAGUUCUCCUUUAGGCACUCUAUCAUAUCUAAUCCUUUGAAUCUAUUUAUUAGGGAUUUGAUUUAGGUCAUAUCUGAAUGGUCUAAUGGUUUUCCCUACUUUCUUCAAUUUAAGUUUGAAUGUCACAAUAAGGAGUUAACGUCUGAGUUAUAGCCAUGUGCUGACUGUAUAGAGCUUCUCCAUCUUCAGCUGCAUAGAAUAUAAUCAAUCUGAUUUUGGUAUGACCAUCUGAUGAUGUCCGUGUAUAGAGUCAUUGCUUGUGUUGUUGGAAUAGCUUGCUUGCUAUGACCAGUGCGUUCUCUUGGCAAAACUCUAUUAGCCUUUGCCCUGCUUCAUUCCUUCCAAGGCCGAACUUGCCUGUUACUAUAGGUGUCUCUUGACUUCCUAUUUUUGGGUUCCUGUCCCCUAUGAUGAAAAGGACAUCUUUUUUGGGUGUUAGUUCUAGAAGGUCUUGUAGGUUGUCAUCAGUUCAGUUCAGUCGCUCAGUCAUGUCUGACCCUUUGCGACCCCAUGAAUCGCAGCAUGCCAGGCCUCUCUGUCCAUCACCAACUCCCGGAGUUCACUCAGACUCACGUCCAUCGAGUCCAUGAUGCCAUCCAGCCAUCUCAUCCUCUGUCAUCCCCUUCUCUUCCUGCCUCCAGUCCCUCCCAGCAUCAGGGUCUUUUCCAGUGAGUCAACUCUUCUCAUGAAGUGGCCAAAGUACUGGAGUUUCAGCUUCAGCAUCACUCCUUCCAAAGAAAUCCCAGGGCUGAUCUCCUUCAGAAUGGACUGGUUGGAUCUCCUUGCAUUCCAAGGGACUCUCAGGAGUCUUCUCCAAUAGCACAGUUCAAAAGCAUCAAUUCUUUGGCACUCAGCUUUCUUCACAGUCCAACUUUCACAUCCAUACAUGACCACAGGAAAAACCAUAGCCUUGACUACUUUGUUGGCUAAGUAAUGUCUCUGCUUUUGAAUAUGCUAUCUAGGUUGGUCAUAACUUUUCUUCCAAGGAGUAAGCGUCUUUUAAUUUCAUGGCUGCAGUCACCAUCUGCAGUGAUUUUGGAGCCCCGCAAAAUGAAGUCUGACACUGUUUCCACUGUUUCCCCAUCCAUUUGCCAUGAAGUGAUGGGACCAGAUGCCAUGAUCUUCAUUUUCUGAAUGUUGAGCUUUAAGCCAAUUUUUCACUUUCCACUUUCACUUUCAUCAAGAGGCUUUUUAGUUCCUCUUCACUUUCUGCCAUAAGGGUGAUGUCAUCUGCAUAUCUGAGGUUAUUGAUAUUUCUCCUGGCACUCUUGAUUCCAGCUUGUGCUUCUUCCAGCCCAGCGUUUCUCAUGAUGCACUCUGCAUAUAAGUUAAACAAGCAGGGUGACAAUAUACAGCCUUGACGUACUCCUUUUCCUAUGUGGAAUCAGUCUGUUGUUCCAUGUCCAGUUCUAACUGUUGCUUCCUGACCUGCAUAAAGAUUUCUCAGAGGCAAGUCAGGUGGUCUGGUAUUCCCAUCUCUUGAAGAAUUUUCCACAGUUUAUUGUGAUCCACACAGUCAAAGGCUUUGGCAUAGUCCAUAAAGCAGAAAUAGAUGUUUUUCUGGAACUCUCUUGCUUUUUCGAUGAUGCAGCGGAUGUUGGCAAUUUGAUCUCUGGUUCCUCUGCCUUUUCUAAAACCAGCUUGAACAUCUGGAAGUUCACAGUUCAUAUAUUGCUGAAGCCUGGCUUGGAGAAUUUUGAACAUUACUUUACUAGCGUGUGAGAUGAGUGCAAUUGUGUGGUAGUUUGAGCAUUCUUUGGCAUUGCCUUUCUUUGGGAUUGAAAUGAAAACUGACCUUUUCCAGUCCUGUGGCAUCAUAGAACCUUUCAAGUUCAAUUUUUUUGGCAUUAGUGGUUGGGGCAUAGACUUGGAUUACUGUGAUAUUGAAUGGUUUGCCUUGGAAAUGAACAGAGAAUAUUUUGUCAUUUUUGAGGUUGCAUCCAAGUACUACAUUUUGAACUCUUUUGUUGACUAUGAGGGCUACUCCAUUUCUUCCAAGGGAUUCUUGAAAUUAAUUUUAAUCAUAUGUUUAAGUUAACCAUUCAACAUGUAAUCACAGAAAAUAGUCUUUUUUCGUAUGUCAUGAGUUAGCACUUCUGCACAGCUCUAUUAGGACCUUUCAGUGGUCAGGAGCCAUGUGCCGUUGGUGGUAUCCACAGCAGGAAGCACAACCCUGUGUUCACUCAGCCAGUUACUGAACUCUGUAUUUGUAUCUCUAUGUUUACACAGUCUUUAUUCCUUUUGCUUUUACCUAUUCAAACUAGAAAGAUUCUGAGUACUGAAAGUGAAAAUAAGUUAUGAAAAAAAGGAAUAAAGAAAACAGUGGGUCAUUGCUUGGCAAUUUCUAACAACACCUAGGAAAGCUAUGGUUUUCGGUGACUUCUGUCAGAUUGCUCAAAUAUUUUGAGUUCAACUGCAUGCCCAUUUAAGAACAUAAGGUUCAUUUAUUAUGUUUCCCCCUUGGCCAAGCAGAAAUCUAAAAAUACACUCCUAAGUUGUUAGGUUUGACCAAACUCUUUAUAUAAAUAUCCGUUUGCAGUUGUUGUUUUAGCAAAAGAAAAAGCCAAUCUCCUGUCUUUGGGUUCUAAAAACUUUAGGAAACUGAUUUUCCCCCUAAGCACUUCCUUCCUCUAAACCACGUACAGACUGAAAAAAAGGAAGUGAAAAUCAGAUUUUAUUUUUUUUCCUACAAGAGGACAGAAAAGACAGCCCCUCCCCCACAUGACUGACAUUCUUUUGCCAUUUCCCCUCCCACCACCGAAUCCCAAAUGAUGAUUAGAGGAUGGAAACUUGGCCCCUUAACAUAAAGCUUCACGCUGUAAACUAAACCCUGGGGAAUGUUGGCCUUAGGAAUCAUAUCUCAUCUGAUGGGUUUGAAAGGGCCUACGGGGAAUCACCAUGUCACAUAGAUCCUUUUUUGCGUUUCAGGCAAUGUUUUCCCAACAUUAGACAAACAGCAGACAACAGUAGACAGUAAGUGCUUGUUCAAUUAAAUUUUUUUAAUUAAUUGGAGUAAAUUCAAGAAAAAUUUCUGUAGAUAAGUAUACAAGAAAAGCAGUUUACUAUUUCCAUAGACUCUAAUGGGAACACUUAGAAGAUAUAGUUUGAAUAGAAAGAAAUGACCUAUGGGACAAGAGUGAUAUAAAGACGUGGUAGAAAAACCUGGAACUUAAAAGGGCAACUAAUUCCCAGAAGUUCUUCCUUGACCCUGUCUUCAUGUGAAAUUUUAAUAUGAGUAAAAUAUAAAAACUAACUAUAAAAUAAAGGUAAAAUAAUAUGUAGAAGAAUAUUUAUAAAUUUUGGUCAAGGGGAAGAUUUUAAGGUAGUAGAUAUGAAACUUGGAAAACACAGUUAUAUUUAACUUGUCUCCCUAUAUACAUAUAAGUGCAUUAUAUAUGUAGUAUUUAGCAUAUAGCUUAUGCAAAAUAAUGAGUUGGGAAACUUUUAUGCAAUUAGAAUACUAUCAGAAGACAUAACAAGUUGCUGUUCCUAAUAUAGAAAUAGCCGUUAAAAGGAAAGGCAAACUAUAAAUUAAAAAAAAAAAGAAAAAUGACUACAAACAUUUUCUUCCUCACUAGUGAAUCAGAGGUGCAAAGUAUACAAAAAUCAGAUGAAAAUUUUAAUGCAUCACUUAAGCAAAACAAGCAAACAAAAAAGUAACAUCAUCCAACUACAGUGAAAUAGGUCAGCCAUCCAGCUGCUGGGGGUGUGAAUUGCUUGAAUAAAUAGAGUAGACUUCACAGUGAUUUCUGGUGAAUAAUACCUAAUAGCAUUAAUGUCAGCUGUCUGAGCUUAAAACAUUUUAGCAAAGUAUCUUUCAGAACUGUGUGCAGGGCAAAGUGAAGCCAUAUUGAUUAUUACAGUCAUAUGUCCUUCCGUGCAUGCUCAUUUGUGUCCAGCUCUUUGCAACCUCAUGGACUCUAGCUGCCCAGGCUCCUCUGCCCUUGGGAUUAUCCAGGCAGGAAUACUGGAGUGGGGUGCCAUUUCCAUUUCAAGGUAUAUGUCCUUAUAGAGAAAAACAAAUAUAUGAUAUCAUUUAUAUAUAGAAUCUAAAAAAAAAAAAAAACAAAUGAACUUGCUUCCAAAACAGAAAUAGACCUACAGAUGAAGAAAGCCUAAGGGAAAGGUUUACCAAAGGGGAAAGGGUUAGGAGGGAUAAAUUAUGAGUUUGGAAUUAAUAUAUACACACUACUAUGUAUAAAAUAGAUAAACAGCAAGGAUCUACUGUAUACCGCAGGGAACUGUACUUGGGAAAAGUAUCUGAAAAAGUAUAUAUAAAGAAUAUGCAUAUAUAUAUAUAUAUAUAAAACUAUCACUGUGUUGUACACUUGAAACUAACAUAUUGUAAAUCAACUAUAUGCCAAUAAAAUCUGAAAAAAAGAGCAAAAAAACUAUAUGUCCUUAUGCAUUUUUAUAAAUAUAAAUAGAUACUAACCAGCUGGAUAAAUCGCCUUAUGCUGUAACUUUCGGUUGCCUGUGUGACUCCUAUGCCGAUGGAGCAGGAGUGGGAGGCACAGGGCUGGCUUUGGGCCAGGGCUGCUCAGGG